UUCACAAGAGGGUUCAUGGUAAUAUUGUGGAAGGCUAAGGGCAAAAUGGAAAUUUCACAAAGUAUUCAAGAAACUUCUUGAAGGAGCCAUUGUGGCCGUCCAUGUGGGGUGGGCUUGGGCCCACAUGGAUGAAUUAUGUGUAUCUAUAUAUAUAACUUAUUAGUCACAAUUAUCACCACAAAUCAAGAAGCUUGGAGAAGAACAAAGAAAGAAAGAAAAAAGGGUUGAAGGCAUUCGGCCAUGGCUAGCCAAAUUUGGCCCCAUGGAAAAAUUAUCAAAAAAAUUAUUUCUCCUAGUAUUCCAAGCAAUUUGAAGGCCCUAAUUAACAUGGAGAGGUUGUUGGAGCAAUAAAACCAUUCAUUUGUGCAAUUUCAACCCUAGUCGGGCAAGAAGAGAUAAGUGAAGAAAGACUAGCGAGCUUGGACAAUUAAGCGUAGCCAAUAGGACGUGGGACAGGUAUGUAAGGCUUACCCUUUCUUUCUUUUGGCAUGAUCUUUAUGAAACAAACAAAUGAUGUAGAUGUAUGAUUUCAAAGAAACUCCCAUUCUUAGAGCCACUAGGAUGGCUAACGUUCUUGAUUUCCAUAAGCUGUUUCAUAUGGUUCUGAUGCGUAUCUAUGAUGUCCAAAGUUCUGUUUGAUAUGUUUCCGAAUGGCAUUCGAAAGAUAAUCGAUAUGACUAAAGUUUUGAUUUUCAAAAGAUAGCACGUUUGAUUAUCCCAUUGAGUCCUUGAUAUAUUUUGAUACGUAAAUAUGGUUCCAAAAGCUCUAUUUGAUUUGAUCCAUAACGAUAUCCGAAAGGUACUUGAUAUGAUUAUGGCUUUGAUUUUCCAAAAAUGGCUUCUGAAACGCUUGUAGAACUUUCUGUACUUCAAACGCUCAUAACUUUCUCAUACUAAGUCGGAUUGACCCGAAACUUGUUUCUGAGCCUUCAGGUGUCGGUAAGUAUACUUGUCUAUCGAGUCUUGAUUUAUGUGCAUAUGGUUUCGCACUACUCUGUUCGUGCAAGUCUCAGUAUGUCCUUCACUGCGUCCCGGGCCAGGGUAUGUUCUCGUGCGUACUUCUUUGCAUUGUUCACCGUGUCCCUCUCACUUGCGGGCCGGGGCAUGUUAUAUAUAUGAUAUGAUAUGAUGAUGAUAUGAUGACGGGGUGGUGGCCAGGAUGGCAUAUGAUGACUCUACUCACGGCGUCCCGCAAUAGAGGGCCGGGGCACGUUACAUGCAUAUAUAAUACAUGACAUUGGCAUACAUGAUCUCAUUCACCGCGUCCCUCAAUAGAGGGCCGGGAUCUGUUAUAUGCACAUAUGAUAUAUGAUUUUCACAUGCAUUGAUGAUUCUGUUCACCGCGUCCCUUACUAGAGGGUCGGGUUCUGUUAUUUGCAUAUAUGAUAUAUGAUGUCAGCAUACAUGAUGACUCCAUCCACCGCGCCCCUCACUAGAGGGCCGGGAUCUGUUAUAUGCAUAUGUAUAUGAUGACAUAUGAUGUUGGCACGCAUGAUCUGUGUCUGGAAAAUAAGUAUUUCGGUACUCUGGAUGAUUCCCUCAUUUUCUGUACUCCUUCUGACAUAUGACAUCGGUAUGCAUGAUUUGCGUUCGGGAAAUAAGUACUUUGGUAUUCUGGCUAAUGUACUUGCUUUUUGUACCGUUGUUCCGAUUAUGGUUCUAUUUUCUAUAUUCCAUGCCUUGCAUACUCAGUACAUAUUUCGUACUGACCCCCUUUCUUCGGGGGCUGCGUUUCAUGCCGCGCAUGUACACCCAGAUGAGUUGAAGCUAUUAUAGAAGAUGUUCCAGCGGAGUUGGCAAGCUCCACUUGCUCCUGGAGUGCUGCCGAGUCAGAGUAUAUGUGCAAUGAUGUCUGAUUAAUGUUAGAGACUUUGCAGACAGAGUCGUGGGUAUUGGUUGUCAGUUCUGUAAGCGGCUCCAUCAGCCGAUGUGUCAUUUUGUGUUAUGAUAUAAAUUCUAUAUAAUUACAGAUUUUGUUUGAUCUGAGAACAACGAAAAAGAAUAUUUCUGAAAGUAGUACUAUGCAUUUCAUCUUUAUUUGGGUUAAAAAGUCCAAAAGAUUAUGUUAUAUCCCGUAUUUCAUACAUUCGGGUACCUUAAGGAAGUCGUGGUAAGUUAAGGAAAUGACCAUCUUCCAAGUUAUUUUAAUGUGCAAGUUGGUUAUAAAUAUUAUUUACGAACAUUGGUAGUAUGGAAAUAUUGAGAAAGGUUAAGGGUUAAAAGAGGAAUUCGCAAAAUGAAUCAUGGAAAUAAUGUGGAAGGCUAGGGGCAAAAUGGUAAUAUUGAAGAAAGUCGAGGGGCGAAACGGGAAUUUCACACAAGGUUCAUGAAAGUUCCAAAAGGGGGCCAUAUUGGUCAUGUGACAAAAAAAAAAAAAAGAUGACAAAAAUAAGUCAUCUUUCCUAGAGAAUUCUAGAGAGAGAGGGCAUGUGCCCCUCACAUGAUUAUAUAUAUAUAUAUAUAUAGAUAUAUGAUUAUAUUUCUUACAAGAUAAGAAGACUUGAAAAACAAAUAAAGAGAAGAAAAAGAAGAAGAGGGAGAGAAACCAAAGGCCUAUUCGGCCAUGAGCUAGCAAAAUUGAAGUCCAAGAAUCUUCAUCAAAAAAUUUAUCUCUUCUAGUUAAACAACUAAUUGAAGGGUCCUUAGCAAGUUGGAGUGCUCAUUGGAGCAAGAAAAACCUAUAUUCAUACAAGUGACAAGUUCUAGCCAAGUGAAGAAUCAAGGAAGAAGACUAACAAGUUGGACGAAUAAGCGUAGCUAGUAAGCCGCAGCACAGGUAUGUAAGGCUCGUCUCUUUUCUUCCAAAGGCAUGAUCCCCAAGUCGUAAUGUCUUAAAUGUUUUUAUAUUUUCCUUACUUGCAAAAGCUAUAAGUCCAUGACUCCAAGGUAUAAGUUUUUUUUUCUAAUAGUUCAUAAUUGUUUUUUUUUUCAAAAUGUCCAUAUUUUCCAAAAAACCAAGUUCUAAGAGAUAGGAAGCUCUUAUUACUAAGAUGAUGAAUAUGAUCUUAUAAUGACAACGAUGAAGUCAAAUAUGAGAAAAUGUCUAUGAUAGAUAUGUUGACGAUAUGUUCCUACCACGAAUAUGACAAUAUGAAAAUGUUAAACUAUUUCUUGAUAUCUCAACUCUAUUAUGGAUAAUGACUAUUUUAAAGGUUCCAAGUAUAUGCCUCAUGAUUCUAUUUUAUGUUUUCUCAUGAUGACACUCUUCAUUGAUAGUCUCGCCUUAUAUUAAUUGUUCCUUCAAGGUGAGACACGACGCCUACGGCUAUUCCAUAAUAUAAUCGGAGGUUACCGACCUUACGUCACUCCGAUAGAUACAUUACUUUCU